rnacentral:tRNA from 2 species
GCCUCCUUGGUCCAACGGACACGACAUCGCCCUACGAAGGCGAGGAUCCAGGUUCGAUUCCUGGAGGGGGCA